CAGUAGCCGCGGGAAUACGUAGGUGGCAAGCGUUGUCCGGAAUUAUUGGGCGUAAAGGGCUCGCAGGCGGUUUCUUAAGUCUGAUGUGAAAGCCCCCGGCUCAACCGGGGAGGGUCAUUGGAAACUGGGAAACUUGAGUGCAGAAGAGGAGAGUGGAAUUCCACGUGUAGCGGUGAAAUGCGUAGAGAUGUGGAGGAACACCAGUGGCGAAGGCGACUCUCUGGUCUGUAACUGAUGCUGAGGAGCGAAAGCGUGGGGAGCGAACAGGAUUAGAUACCCCUGUAGUCCCUGUCUCUUAUAC
rnacentral:rRNA from 1 species